CAGCCAUUUUUCAUUUUUUUUGGCGUAAUCAGCAUCGAGGCGUCUCCUUCCGGCGUCGCGACCAACGCACCGAACCUGUUUCUAAUGGUGGGAACUUUCAUUAACAAACUGCAUGGCGACGGCAGCACGAAAAAACGACACGCAACAAAAAAUAAAACAAGAUAUACUAAACGAAAAAGGAAGGCCCUGAGAUCGAGCGGCAAGUGAAUUCCCAGAUACCCUUACAGAUUCAUCAAAGAAAGUAAGAAGCUGAAUAAAAAAGCGACUUAUGUAUUCAUUAAGACCCUCAGCAAAAGAGUAUAAACUGAACACAAACCGAAACCGGCCGGCAAAUGGCGCUGCAAAUUUGUUUAUGCAAACGACCCGGAGGAGGAUUG